rnacentral:lncRNA from 1 species
UUAUGGCGCGUUGCUCACAAGCGUGUGCUCCAGGGACAUAAAUGGGUAGAAUCCGUUAACAGACAAAUAUGAUCGUGGUUGGUAAUUUGAUCUGGACUCUAUCCCGGAAAACUAGUUAAAAAAAGACUAGGAAUCUUAUCUGUAUAAGAGGUGGACUCUUUGGAAAGACAGUAUAAGAAGGUCCCUACCCCCUAGCCUCAGAUAUGCGAUUGUGA